rnacentral:pre_miRNA from 1 species
AAUGGGAUAACUGGGUCAAAUGGUGAUUCCAUUUCUAGUUUUUUUGAGGAAUUUCCCUACUGCUUUCCAGAAUAGUUGUACUAAUUUACAGUCCCACCAGCAAU